GACGAACGCUGGCGGCGUGCUUAACACAUGCAAGUCGAACGGGAUGAUUUAGAAGCUUGCUUUUAGAGAAUCUAGUGGCAAACGGGUGAGUAACACGUAGACAACCUGCCGACAGGAUGGGGACAACAUUCCGAAAGGAAUGCUAAUACCGAAUGAAGUCAGAGAAGGGCAUCCUUUUCUGAUGAAAGAUGGCCUCUGAAUAUGCUAUCACCUGUCGAUGGGUCUGCGUCUGAUUAGCUGGUUGGUGAGGUAACGGCUCACCAAGGCGACGAUCAGUAGCCGGUCUGAGAGGAUGAACGGCCACAUUGGGACUGAGACACGGCCCAGACUCCUACGGGAGGCAGCAGUGGGGAAUCUUCCGCAAUGGGCGCAAGCCUGACGGAGCAACGCCGCGUGAGUGAAGAAGGUCUUCGGAUCGUAAAGCUCUGUUGAUGGGGACGAACGUGCGAAGGGUGAAUAAUCCUUUGUAAUGACGGACCUAUCGA
rnacentral:rRNA from 1 species